CACACGAAAUAGACGUGACAAUUUUGUACCGUGUACCUGUAAGUUUUUAUGCACACACACAUUGUUUUUUUUAGCUGAAAAGUGUAGUAUACGAAGAGUGCGACACGGUGAUAGUAAUGAAAUCAACAUAGAUAAAUUAAACAAAACAAAAUAGGUAGUCAAUCAAAAAUCCAAGCUGAGAACUUUAUUUGGUUUUUGAUUAGCUAUUUCUUUUUGAAAAAAAAACGAAACAACCAGAGAAUGCAAUUCGGUCGGAAAUGUUUGCUGUGCAAAAACACUAAGCAUCGAGAUCGAGGGUGUCGGUUAUUCAAAUUCCCUCCCCGCGGCAGUCCAAUGUGGUACCGAUGGUUGGCAGCUUGCAGCCUUGAAGCGCUCGACAUCGAAGAAAAUUCGCGUGAACCGCCCCGUCUUUGUCAAAGGCAUUUCCUGAAAAAAGACUUCCUUACACGAAGACUAACGGCCACGGCCGUUCCGUCAGUGUUUCCGUUGAAUGUGCAUACCAAAAUUGAAGAGUCAACUGGCGAAUCCUGUUCAGAGGAUAGUAGAUAUACGACAAGCGUAACGGAUGUGGAUUGUGAGCACGAUCAGGUUUUUGAUUUGGUGAAUGCACCGGAAGUCGACGAUCUGAUAGAAUUUACUGGAAACGAGGAAAGAGAAGUGAUUAUAGACGAAAUUCCAGCUGCUGAUUUGCAAAGCAACCUUUAUGAGACUGAAGAAGUGGUGGUAAGUUGUUAUGUUGAAGAACAUUGGCAUCUUUUGGAGCAUUUACGUGAUGAACAAACUUAAGUUGAGCAACUUGUAAAACAACUUAACGAAAAAGAUCGAGUCAUAGACGAUCAGUGUAAGAUUAUGAAACAGAUGGGAGUUCGGUUUAUAACCCUUGAUCGAGAAUAACUGUUAUAUAUUCGAAUUGUACUUUAAGUUUGUUAAGCAUAGGCAAUAUUUAUUUUCUUACCAGCACACGAUAUGCAACAUGUAAA